GUUGUUGAGUGCUUUGUGUGGACACUCCUGUUAAUUCUUUAGUUAACAUGUCUGCAUCUUCCAAGCCACUUGGAUCUCAGUUUUCUGGUGAACUACAGAGUUUCAGAGAGGAAUCUCAAAAACACAAGAAGAUAAUGCCAUGGACAAGCACUGUAGCUGCACACUCCAGCUCAUACUACAGCGUUCUACCUGAGCUCACUACCUGGAGGCUUGAGAGAAACUUAGAGACACAUUGAGUUGUAAGAGGAAUAGAAACAUCAUUUUUCACUCAACUAAUUCACACAGACUUGGCUUCAUUAAUUCUGUAUGUGCAUUUCACUUCUGUUUCCACAGUCUAUGAGAGCCCUUCUGAUUCUUUCACUGCACAUGAUGAGAAGCAGCACUGGAAGCUUUUAUCAUCUUGUGUUGCAUGCUGUUUCAGAGACAGAAAAGAUUGCCAGAUCUUUAGACCUUUCAGGAUCUCAUCAACUGCGUCAACCCAGCUGGCCUAGGUUACUGCAGAGGAAGGAAGCUGUACUACUCACUUUAUUCUUCAGCAUCUCAUUUUCUCUGCAUAUCACCUGAGAUGGAAAUUACCCUUUAAAAAUGCUCACUUUUUGCUCUUCUGUCUUUGAUGGCACAGCAGAAUUGUCAUUAUGUGAAAACUGAUUCAUCUAAAUCAGGAAAAAAAUAUAUUUCAUUUUUAGAAUUAUUUAUUUAAGCUUUAAGUAGGACUAUUUUUGCCAUUUUCUUUUAAACAUCAAAAUAUGAUUUGAAUAAAUGAAAUACAUAUAUAUAUAUCCUUUCUUGU
rnacentral:lncRNA from 1 species